rnacentral:rRNA from 1 species
GAUGAACGCUGGCGGCGUGCCUAAUACAUGCAAGUCGAGCGAACAGAUGAGGAGCUUGCUCCUCUGACGUUAGCGGCGGACGGGUGAGUAACACGUGGAUAACCUACCUAUAAGACUGGGAUAACUUCGGGAAACCGGAGCUAAUACCGGAUAAUAUAUUGAACCGCAUGGUUCAAUAGUGAAAGACGGUUUUGCUGUCACUUAUAGAUGGAUCCGCGCCGCAUUAGCUAGUUGGUAAGGUAACGGCUUACCAAGGCAACGAUGCGUAGCCGACCUGAGAGGGUGAUCGGCCACACGGGAACUGAGACACGGUCCAGACUCCUACGGGAGGCAGCAGUAGGGAAUCUUCCGCAAUGGGCGAAAGCCGGACGGAGCAACGCCGCGUGAGUGAUGAAGGUCUUCGGAUCGUAAAACUCUGUUAUUAGGGAAGAACAAAUGUGUAAGUAACUAUGCACGUCUUGACGGUACCUAAUCAGAAAGCCACGGCUAACUACGUG